CCCCAAGCAAGGAAGGAAGGAGGCAGGCAGGCAGAGUGCCCCCCACAGCUCUCUGCAGCAGACCCUCUGCCCAGCCCAGCAUUUUCCAGCUCUGCAGACUUCUCUCACAGGACAACAGACAGUUGCAAUGUUGCUGUAAAUUUUUAAAAAUAUGACAAUGUCAGCAUGCAGGUCAUUGAGCAGAAAAGAAUAUAUUGAAGGAACCUGCCAUUGUCUUUAUACUGGGAGCAAUAUUCCAUCAUUUUAUGUAACAUCGUUUGAUCUAGUCAAACUAAAGUUCAUCUGCAAGGUGUAAAAGUCUUCCAGAUAAUUGUUGAGGUGAUUCCUGGUCUUGGAUGAAAGCAUGGAUGGAAAAGCAGUGGUAACAUGCCAUGUGUCAGUCAAAUGGACAACCUUCUCCUCUGUACAACCUUCAGGUUUUGAAGAUAAUCUAAAAUGAUGCUGCAACAUUCCAUGGUUUUUAUUUAAAAGAGUAAUUAUUAAUAUUUGAAGAAAUACUCUUCAGAAAGCAGGUAAGAAGCAAAUGCUGUUCCAAAUGCUGUUUUGGCAUAUAAAGAUUCAAGAAUGUGACAUCUCGUAUAGAUCCAAGGAUUGGGAGAAUCUAGUUCCUCUUGGAAUGGUUCAUCCAGGCAAGGCAGAAGGUAAAAGUUUGCUAGAAAUCAUAAGAUUCUGUAGGAUGUUUGCAACUCCAUUAUGAGCACCUUUUCUCUAAGAGCAAACCAGUUAUU